rnacentral:tRNA from 1 species
GGCGCUGUAGUGUAGUGGUUAUCACAGAAGAUUCUGAUUCUUUUAACCCAGGUUCGAGUCCUGGCAGUGCCU